UUGAAAUUUAGGGUGCCUAGGACAUGAAAUCUAAAAUGACCGGUACCAGACGCUACACCAUCAACGACAUGUCCUGCAUUUUAAUGUAAUUUUUAUUUUUUUAAAAUAUCCACUUCCUUUCUUAGCCUAGCUUCCACCGGGUAUAAUUGUAACACGGGGAGAGUUGUAACACUACCAAUUCCACGAAUCAGGGAUAAGAUAGGAGUCAUGUGACAGUUUCAGUCUCGCAGGCUUCCUUUACGAUCCCACAUGGAGGUUUUCCGGUCUGUGUUGCCAUCUCUCCUGAAGCUACAGCAGAAAAUCUAAUUCUGAGAAAUCUGAGGCAACAGCUGACGACCUUUUCAGGGGUCCCCUCUUCCCAGCAUCCAAAUAAAAGGAUCGGCUGACCUACAAAGCGUGGGCUGUCGGUGAGCUCCAGGUGACGACACACAUCUCUGUG